AUCCACUCUCCGAAUCCAAUCAAUCACCACCGAUGAGUCACCCUCGAGGUACACCCGCUCGGCCCCGAGUAUCUGCCUCGCAUAGGAUAUACCCUCCCAGGCUGCCUGCAGCUCUGCUCCAACCACUGUAAAUCCUGGCGUGCGCCGUCCUCCUGCUGCUAUCAUCCUACCGAGAUGGUCCCUAAUCACAAAUCCGACCCCUCCACACAUACCAUCUACCGACCUGCUGCCGUCAAAAUUCACUUUGAGAUAGCCAGAGGGUGGGGUGCCCAAAAAACAAGGGCAAACCGUGGCGCUGAAACAGCGUGAUGAGCACCCCAGAUGUCCCUGACCAGCCCAGAAGUGACUACCGCAGCUGCCCCAAUAACCUCCCUCGCAAGCAGCAUCGCUCGGUCUACCACCAUCCUCGAAGGCGACCUCCUCCCCUCAAAUAUACCGGUGUUCCUGUCCAACCAUAUAUGGUAGGAUAGGUAUGCCACAAAAAUCCCUGCCUUAGCAGAUCUGGGACGCCUCAUUGAAUCUCUCAACAGAUGGAUCAGAUCCUGAGUCGAAAUCACCGAGGUCGGUAGCGGAAUCGGUGACCUCCUCC
rnacentral:lncRNA from 1 species